UGCUAUUUGUAACGGGCCCUUUAAAUGGCAAAUUGCCCUGCUUCCCUGGGUUGUGGAGAAGCCUAUUUGCCAGCCUCCUCCCGCAUGACUAUGGCCCCUGGGAGAUUGUGAAAACUUAUGGAAUUUUAUUGGGUGUGUAUGGCCCUUUAAGACUGUCGGUGGGCAUAUUGGGGCUUAGGGACUCUUUAUGGGACUGGUGCUGGCCCUUUAAACACCUUUUUGGGACAUCAGGAAGAUUGGGACACUGCCCCUUUAAGACGGUGUCCCCAGACUUGUUU